rnacentral:rRNA from 1 species
GUGCCAGCCGCCGCGGUAAUACGUAGGUGGCAAGCGUUGUCCGGAUUUAUUGGGCGUAAAGCGCGCGCAGGCGGUUUCUUAAGUCUGAUGUGAAAGCCCACGGCUUAACUGUGGAGGGUCAUUGGAAACUGGGAGACUUGAGUGCAGAAGAGGAAAGUGGAAUUCCAAGUGUAGCGGUGAAAUGCGUAGAGAUUUGGAAGAACACCAGUGGCGAAGGCGGCUUUCUGGUCUGCAACUGACGCUGAGGCGCGAAAGCAUGGGGAGCAAACAGGAUUAGAUACCCUGGUAGUCCAUGCCGUAAACGAUGAGUGCUAAGUGUUGGGGGGUUUGCGUCCCUUAGUGCUGCAGUUAACGCAUUAAGCACUCCGCCUGGGGAGUACGGCCGCAAGGUUAAAACUUAAAGGAAUUGACGG